CCUCAAGAAAGGAAGAUGCGACUUCCAUUGUCUUGCUAUUAUUAUCUUCACCACCAAGAAGCAAUGGUUUACGAGGCACUUAGAAGAAGUGGAAGAAAGUUUCCAAUUUAAAUGUAACAGUGCUGUAUCCGGGCCUUUUUUAAUUGUAAUAUUAAAUAAACAUUUUAUACCACAUAUAUAUAUUUAUACCACAAUCACUUUGCAGUUUGUAAUCUUUGAGCGCACAGUAGACCUAACUACUCAGCUUACAUUUGUGCAAUACAAACAAUCUGUCAUAAUAAGACUUUAUAAUAGAUCAUCAUUCUUGAUUGAGGAAGUCACCGUUACUUGU